CCCACGGGGCGCAGCAGUGGGGAAUAUUGGACAAUGGGCGAAAGCCUGAUCCAGCCAUGCCGCGUGUGUGAAGAAGGCCUUCGGGUUGUAAAGCACUUUCAGUGGGGAAGAAAGCCUUGGGGCUAAUACCCUCGAGGAAGGACAUCACCCACAGAAGAAGCACCGGCUAACUCCGUGCCAGCAGCCGCGGUAAUACGGAGGGUGCGAGCGUUAAUCGGAAUUACUGGGCGUAAAGCGCGCGUAGGCGGUCUGAUAAGCCGGUUGUGAAAGCCCCGGGCUCAACCUGGGAACGGCAUCCGGAACUGUCAGGCUAGAGUGCAGGAGAGGAAGGUAGAAUUCCCGGUGUAGCGGUGAAAUGCGUAGAGAUCGGGAGGAAUACCAGUGGCGAAGGCGGCCUUCUGGACUGACACUGACGCUGAGGUGCGAAAGCGUGGGUAGCAAACAGGAUUAGAUACCCUAGUAGUC
rnacentral:rRNA from 1 species